CUUGAAUCUCCAUUGUGCUUCCAAGUUCCGACUGCUGUACAAGCUCUGCUCCAUCAAAAUGGCCUGUUGUCAAAACAAGACUCAGUGUUGUUCCAAGUGUGGCUGCUCUCCUUGCUGCUGUUCACAGACUCAGAGCUGUUCCAAGUGUGGCUGCUCCCCCUGCUGCUGCCACAAGGCUAAAUGCUGUUCCAAGUGUGGUUGCUCCCCCUGCUGCUGCCACAAGGCUAAAUGCUGUUCCAAGUGUGGUUGCUCCCCUUGCUGCUGCCACAAGGCUAAAUGCUGUUCCAAGUGUGGCUGCUCCCCAUGCUGCUGUUCCCAGAGCCAGAGCUGUUCCAAGUGUGGUUGCUCCCCCUGCUGCUGCCACAAGGCUAAAUGCUGUUCCAAGUGUGGCUGUUCCCCUUGCUGCUGUUCCCAGUCUUGCUGUUCUAGAUGUGGCUGCACUCCCUGCUGUUGUCGCAAGUUGACCUGCUGCUCCAAGUGUGGCUGCUCCCCCUGCUGUUGCCGUUCCCAGCCCCGCUGCUACUGCCCUCGCUGCUGCAACCAGUCCUGCUGCUCUCCGUGCUGCUGUUCCCGUUGUCGCCGCAGCCCCUGCUGCUGUUGCAAUCAGUGUGGCUCUUCCCCCUGCUGCUGUUGCAACCAGAGUUGCUGCGUCCCCUGCUGCUGCGGCCAGACCUGCUGCUCUACUUACCAGUACAAGUGCUGAAACUGCUAACAGGGCCUUGGAUUUGAAAAACAACAGCUGCAUGUCAGCCCAGAUCUUGGCAGCAAAACCCAGCAUUCUGCUUGCUAGCUCAACACUCAGAAUGUAGGGAUGAACGUCACCACAAACCCCAUACUCAAAGACAUGCCAGUUGCCUUCCUGUUGAGAGAGAUGCCUCAAGCUUUGUCCCUGCCUCCUUCAUGAAAUUUAAGAUUAUUCUCUUUAAAACAUAUUGGAAACCCCUAAAAGUGCCUUGAUAUGUUCAUGAAAUAUGUAUGGUGUUCUAUGUUUUCCUUUCAGUGUAUUGGGUGGUUUUUUUUUUCCCUUUCUCUAGCUUUUCCCAAUGUCCACUAAUAAAAUUCUGAAUUCCUGGCA